GGCUUGAUUUUUACGUCUGACCUGCCCACUGAUUAAUUUAAUGGCCGCGGUAUUUUGACCGUGCAAAGGUAGCAUAAUAAUUUGUCUUUUAAUUGAAGGCUUGUAUGAAUGGUUGGACGAGAAAACUACUUUCUUUAUAAUAGAUUAAUUAAUUUUAUUUUUUAGUUAAAAAGCUAAAAUAUUAUUGUAGGACGAGAAGACCCUAUAGAACUUUAUAAUUAUUUUUAUAUUAAUAUAUUUGGUUUAUAAUAUAUUAUAUUUUUAUAAUUAUUUUGUUGGGGCGACAAGAAAAUUUAUUUAACUUUUUUUUAUAUAUUUCAUUAAUUAAUGUACAAAUGAUCCUAUAUUAUGGAUAACUAGAAUAAGUUACCUUAGGGAUAACAGCGUAAUUUUUUUGGAGAGUUCUUAUCGAUAAAAAAGUUUGCGA
rnacentral:rRNA from 1 species